CAGACCUUGAGGUAGAAUGACUAAAUCCAUAUCCACUACCCAUGUGCUAGGGGAUUCCAAAUUUCGCAGUCCUGCCCCCAUCUCCACUUGUUGAUCACCAUGGCACUUUGGUUGGUAUUAUUAUCUUUUUCUUAGAAGAUGCCUAUGUGUAAAUUUGCUCUAUGUGUGGAGAUCAAUGCACAUCUGAUCCACACACAAUCUUCACAGUAAGAGCUUUGGCUUCAGUGCCUUGGUUAAUCCGAAAACCAGUGGCCUCUCAUGUUUGCAGCCUUCUUCUGCCUUCACAUCUGUUGUAACAUGUACCAUUUUUGUCUGCCUGCUCCAACUCAGAGGACUUCUGAUUGUGCUUGGUCCGGUUCCUCCCCUGUCACCUUGUUGUCCUGGGAGACCUCUUUGGGAGCACAUGACUCUGAUGGGUUCGCCUGGAGGUUCACUGGAACACCCCCCCUUACCAUGCUGACAAUCCAUCAAAAGUCAGACCUGGAAGCUAGAAAUCCCAUACGGUAUGAAGUUGCUGUCAGAAGGAAUGCUGAAAGGCAACAUUGCUGGUUGGCUGUUGUAUCAUAUCAGGUUGUCUUGGCUGCAAAAAGAAUGUAAGAAAGGCAGGCAAAAAUCUCAACAUAUCGGAGACUUCCUCAGCUGGGAGGGCUGAGAUAAAAUGCUGUGUUUCCAUCAUAUCCCCUUUAUUUCUUGUACUGAUAUUAUCCUGAAAGCCCAGGCACAUGAUGAAUAACAGUACAGUUCAAUUAAUGGUUGCUGAAUUUCAAAACCAGCUUUGAAAACCAAUUAAACCUCAGAGAAUGAGAGAACUAAACAGGAUGAAAAUUAAAACUGCCGUUGGUAAUAAUUAUAUAUUCCUCUAAGUCUGUAACAAAAUAUUCAACCAACCAUGUAUAUAUCACAAUGUCUGAUUUAACACUGAUUUUUUUCCCUCUCAA